rnacentral:lncRNA from 1 species
CCUUGGUGAAUUCAGCCUUUGCUAUUUUCAACUUCUGCUGGAAGUGACUCCUGGCUACCAACCUAGAUCAUCUGAGGAGGGGAGGAAGGGAUCCCGGGUGGCUCCUGUGUCUCUUUGGAGUGUGGAAGGGUUCCAGAAUUUUCCUUUCAUUUCCAGAUGAUCAUCAGAAAUCAUUUAAGUCCCAGAGGCCCUUUUCUAAGCAGGCUGACCCCUGAGUCACUCCUGUGUGCUCCCCAUCUCCUGCAGUGAUCGUAUUCCUCUGUCCAUUCGUAAUUUUAAUUAUGCGUUUACUCAAUGGGCCUGCCUUCUGGUGAACUUCUCCUGGUAACUCAUUAAACCUCUGAGUCACGCAUUCAUUAUUAAAGAGGGGGCAAGGUGGGGAAAGGAAAGAACGGAAAGGAGCUGUGCCCUGGGAGGAACUUGGGGAGGAUCUCUGUGGUUGAGUGUAGCUGAGUCUCUGGAGGCCUCAGUUAGCUCUUCUCCCGUCUAGGAUGUACCCUGCACUGCGGGGCACUGUACCGACUGUAGGGAGGUCAUUGGUCAGGUUGGCCUGAAAUUGAGUUUUUACUAUGGUAGGAGACUACUUACAGUUUUGGUGAAAGUCUUUCCCUCCUGCUUAACUCUGCCCUUUGGAAUUAGGUGGUCUCAAAACAACGAUGGAGCCACUAGUUAAAAAGGAAUUCCAAUCUUAACUUGUGACUCUGAAAGAGCAUUAAAGGGAACUGAUUCAUAACCCACAGAGGCACUUCUUAAUAUUCCCUUUCCUUUCCACUACAGUUUUUUAAAGAACUACUCCAACCUCCCUGCCCACUACCACUCAGCCCAGGGAACUAUCUCCUCUCUCACCCUCUCCUCAAGGUGUUCAGGAAAAAAAUGCACAAAAUCCUGACUGACCGGAAUAAUUCAUGAAGAAGGGGCUGGAUCCGUGGGUCAGAGAGCACAGGACCGGUGUACCAUCCCAAGGCCGAAGGAAUAUCACCUGCUCCCUGGCCUGAUGAUGAACUUCUAGCACAGAAGUCAUUUUUCCACAUCACCUUUUCUGGCACAGAGCUGGAUGUACAGCAGGUGUUCAGUAAAUAUUGGUUGGUUGAUUUUAUUUCAAUUGAUUUUAUUUCUGAGGAUGCCACAAUAUCACAUUCUGUGAUGAUAGUAAAUAUGUCCGAGGAUUGUAAUGCAGGUUCUACAGUUUCCUCCUUUUCGACUUUUAAGUAUUUCUGAACACUCUACAUACUUUCUUGAGAAUUAUACAUCAUAUUCAGUAUUAGUAGCAGGACUAAUUCAUGUCCUUAUCAUUUUCCAAGAAGAACACUUUUGUGUGCUCUAGCAGCCUUGAUAAGGGCUUCUUGGUGGCCCAAUGGUAAAGAAUCUACCUUCAAUGCAGGAGACACGGGUUUGAUCCCUGGGUCAGGAAGAUCCCCUGGANNNNNNNNACCCACUCCAGUAUUCUUGCCUGGGAAAUCCCAUAGACAGAGGAGUCUGGAGGGGUUGUAAAGAGUCAGAUUUAGGACUAACAACAGCAACAACAAGCAGCCUUGGUAUCUUUCUUUGUAGGAUUGUUUUCCAGAACAAAAGUGAUUCUAACUGGUAACUAGCCCUGUGCCCUCCCGCCUCCUGGAAUGAGGUUGGUUGUUGGGUGGCUCUUCUGGGGUGAUCGGGACAGAUUUAAUAGACCUUGUUGGUGCUCUGCCUGGACACCCUGGGAUCACUUUGUGCUCCCACCCCACAGCUGCUAUGGCCUUUGCUGCCCCUUUAAAGAACUGACCUCUUGAUAUCUCGGUAUCUCGGUAGCCAGUAUUAACUGGUGUGGGAAUGAGAAACGUAGCUGCCUUGCCUUGGGGAGGAGGGAGCAGAUUCAGGAGGAGGCCAAGUUUGUACUCCAGGAGUCUCCUGGGGUCAGGCUGAAGCUGGGACUUCACCUGAGGUUAGAGUGGCUUGGCUCUCCCCCGACUCUUUUCCUGAGUCCCUUGGGAGCAUUUCUUUAAUGAAUCACCUGCCCAGGAAUCCUUGUCCUACUCUGGGGGAACAUGUCCUC